UCCCAGGUGGCUUAGUGGGUAAAGAAUCUGCCUGCAAUGCAGGAGUUGCAGGAGACACAGGUUCGAUCCCUGGGUUGGGAA
rnacentral:tRNA from 1 species